GGAAGCUUAGCUCAGUUGGUUUAGAGCACCUGCCUUACAAGCAGGGGGUCGCUGGUUCGACCCCAGCAGUUUCCA
rnacentral:tRNA from 1 species